rnacentral:lncRNA from 1 species
AUGCGGGGAUUUAUUAGGAACUAGGCAAGAAAGUCAGAUCUUUUAUAUAAUCUUGCUCAAUCCGAUUUUUUCCCUACAUCCUGAUUUGAUAUAUAGUGAAAUAUAUUUCGGACUUGGUUCUGGGAGUGAGGGGAUUUUUAUAAAAACGUGUAUGAGCCCAAUGAGGAGAGGCCGUGAAGGUUCUGGGAGUGAAGGGAUUGGGAUCGGGAACUGCUGCUGCAUUAGGCGUAACAAGGCACUGAGGAGGAUGUGUUUCUGGGCAAGAGGUGAUGUAAGAGCAUUGAUAUAAGUGACGCCCUCGCUGAAGUUGGUUCGACCUGCCUUGAGGUCCUUCUCACCAAGUGACGCCUCACCUCGGUGAAUCAGGUCACCUGCUUAAUUCUGCUCUGUCGUACUCAUAUCAUCGAAUCCCUUAAUUACAGGCUACCGGUUAGCUACUUUACUGAAAAUCUGACUCUACAGUGAACUAAUUAGUACUUGUUUCAGUAGUUUAUUUUGGGUUAGUUGAUAACAGUAUGAAAUGAAAUAGCACUUGUUCCAAUAGUUGAUUCAGGGCCAGUUGAGGACGGUAUGAAAUGAAUUAGGCACACAAUGUGAUUUAUGUCUGUAACUCUUGCUCUUCUUUUCCUUUUCCUCCUCAAGAUGGUAGCAAUGCUAAAAUAGUUGACUUCUGGGGCUAUGCUUUCACCUUUAGAGUCUUCAGAGGAAUUUAGUGGUGCAAUUAUUAGAUGCUUCAGGGCCUUGGUUUUGCGGUUAAAGCUAUGCUUGGACCAUUUUUGUUCUUGCAAACAAGGAACAGUGUUACCUACGAUCCCGACCAGUACAGGCUUGGACGUUAGAAGUGUAGUAAGCUCAAAUCACUCUACAGAGCCACAUGUUUCCUUAGCUAAAUGUCUGUGUGGUACGAGAAGAAUGUUCUUAUUUGGGUUCUCAUUUGUGGUAACGAUCAGGAACAACAGCUGGUCUACGUGUUGUAUAAUUGUGGUGUGUGCCUAUAGGCAGAGCUUAAUGUAGAUCAAGCGUCCUUACUGUAGAAAGUUUUUAGGAAAUAUUCCCCGCACUCCAAAUUAUAAGACAUUUUGACUUUUUUAGAUGCAUUGUCUUUUCUAUGCCACCCCGUCUUCCACAAGGUAGGCAUAUCCAUCCAUCCUACAUAUUAAAUUCCAUCCAUUGCUUGGUUGUUCAUCCUACUUCAACUCCUACGGUCCCUGUUGGCUUGGCCUUGUGUUUUACAACUAGCUCUUGCUGUUAGGGGGGUGGAGUAACAUAUUCCUGGAUUUUUGGUUGGCACAUAAGAAAGACAUAUUUCAACAAAAAUGACUUAAUUGAAGCAGGAUCCAAACAAGCAAAUACAUGUUGUCUCAAAUACAAACUUUAAUACAUAGGUUCGUAACAUUUAAGACAGAGCUAAAAACAUAGGCCUAGAGGAAGACAUAAGUAAUGUAGUGUGAGAAAUAUUAGGUGGUCUACGACAUCCACACAAGUCCUCUUAAUCAAAGCUUCUAGGUUGGCUUCUCUUGGUCAUCUGGUUUUUUGAAGGGGCUCCAAACUUCAAUGUCUUUGUUGUUUUUAGCAUGGGAGGGAAGCAGGGGGUAAAGGUGAAACAAACAGGUCCAUUUGAUAGUUGAGUUGGGUCCAAUGUAGCUAAAAGUUGGGAACUAACUGGAAUGGUCGUUUGCACAUGAAGUUUGUUGUUGGUUGCGUACCUGCUUACUGCCCUUGUUGGGAACUCCAGCCCCUCUGCCAAGGACUUGACUGCCAUUCUGGACUAAGUAAUUUUUCAUAGCUGCAACACAUCCAACUAACAGCUCUUGUUACUAUCCCCUCUUUUGAAAAUUAUAAUUUUGUAAUUUUUAACGGAGAGUAAAGUUAAGUUGCUUAUGUUUCCUUUUUUAAACAUGUUUGAAGGGUUCAACUGACCCCCAUUUUUGUUGCAUGUAUGCACCUAAUUUUCUUAGGGGGCUUUUAAUAUUAUCGGUCAUGAGUUAGGAAAAUGGAUGUGUAUUUUUCAAAUGCUUCUUACAUUUCAAAGUAUUUUGUUCAGUUUACUGGAAUGUUUUAUUUUAAAAUAGCCAUCUUUAUCAAGAAGCAUAUAAAUCAGACUAACAAGCUACCUUAUUUUAACUGAUGGAGCAGACAUGCUUUGAUCUUCGUUCAGAUUGCUUCCACAAUGCAAAAAUUGUUACUAAGCACAUUCAAGCUUAGAAUUUUAGAGGGUGGAUGGGAUGAAAGAUGGAUCAGGCACUGUUAGAGGCAGAUGGACAGAUCUGGAAACUUUGCUGUUGUUGGAGUGCAUAGAGAAGUUCAAUGAUAAUUGGAAUCAUAUCGUAGGUCACGUUGAAACAAAAUCAAAAGCACAAUAUAUUCACCGCAAGCACUUCUGCAUGCUGCUACUAUUAUGCAUCCUAUAAACUAUAUACUACUCGGUCUAUCCGCUUCAUUUUUGCUGCUGAAUGGAAGAUGAAUUCAGUGGAGUCAUCACCAGUGCCCUUGUUUUGCACGUUUAGUCUUAGAUGCUUUCCAUCUCACCUUUGGAUGUGUCUUGUUAACUUUCUCAUUGUUCGCUACCUGCAUCCCGAACCAAGCAUGAUAACCUUCACCUAUGGGUUAGUCUCCUCAUUCCCUAUCGCCUUUCAGGCUCUACUUCUGUUCGUCUGUGCACUAAUUCACACUCACUUAUGAGUUGCCUCCUUUCUUUUAGCUACAAGAGAUUGGAGGUUCUGGUUGCCUUUAUAAAUGUUGUAAGCUUACAAGCUUUCGUUCUUAUGGAUACAUGUGGAUACACAUAGUUCUCUCAUAUUGAAAAUUUACAAGCCCAACUUUCAAAUUUAUGUUAAACAUUUGUUUGUUGAUUGAGCUGAAGAUUAUCCAUGCUUUACAUCUUUGCUUGCAUUGUACAUUAUAUUCAAAUUUGGAUACUGAAAUGUCUGAAAGAUUAUAGCUGCAAUUAUAUUCAAUAUUCAUUUAUAAAUGGUAUUCAGUGGACGAGGUAAACAUCUGACACCACUGCGGUUGCGUCAGAGACAUCAGUCGCGUCAGCUCGAUGGCUCGCAGCCACAACGUGUCGUCGUUGCAUAGGAAGAUGGUGCACGAGCUAUACAUGGUGGUGUGCGCCUGCUUCGGAUCCUGCGCAUGUACGACAUGAACAAAUCAUGGUAGUCCACCAUAAAGAGCUGCUUCUACGAAUAUAUGGUUGUUCCGUAUUUAUGUCUUAUACUAAUUUUAGCUCCUGUAGCAAUGCACGGGUACAUACC